CAUAAACAGAUGCGGAAUGAAUCUCAUCAACUUCCGGUUUUCAGAAAGACUUUGGUGAUCGGCAAACAUCAUGAUUAGAUCGCUCUGCAGAAAGCUCCUGACACAAAAAUCAAUCGUAUGCAUUACAAAGAGAUCUUCUAAUAUUUUUAGAAUCGUGUGACUCUGGAAAAUAGGGUCUUGCUCUUCUGACAUUAAGACGUUUUAUCUUUUUGAGUUGACCUUUCCCAGAAAUUAUAAAUUUCUUAUGUUAAAAUUAUGUAAGAUGUAGUUUGCAUGUGCAUCUGGAGAAACCUGUGAAUUUUUUGCAUAGGCAUUGUCUGCGCAUAUCUGCAUGGGGGGACGCAUAGCCUAAUUGGACUUCGUAGGCUACGCAUACCCGCGACCGAUUUGAUAAUGAACUGUCUUGGUAUCGGGUCUGUUUGCCCUAAGUACAUGUUCGCCCUGGGUCCAUUUUCCCUGAGUUUGUUCACCCAUUGAGUCUGUUCGCCCUUCUUAAAAAAUAUAAAUAUUCAGGGCAUUGAAAUUGGAUAAACUUAUUCAGAUAUUAAAAUUCUUGUUUUAUUAUGAAAUCCUUUCAUAUUGUGGGUCUCACUAAUUAGCGACAAGAAGAAUAAAUUUAGCGACAAGUAGCAACAAGAACACUAUUUAGCGACAAGAAAUUUUUUUUUUUUUAAUUAGAUAUAAAAGAAAUUUGUAUUUAAUGGGUUUUUUUAAUAUACGAGCAGAUAUAUCUAAUUAAAAAAAAUGUUUUAUAAUAUAGAUAAACGAAGAAAUUAAACAUUUGUGAGGAAGAAAGAGAUUGUGUAGUUUAUAUUAUUAUAUUGGUAGAUGGAGAAAAUUAAACAUUUGUGAAGAAGAAAGAGAUUGAGCUUCUUUUUUUAUUUUUAAAUAUGAAGAAUAUGUAUAAGAUAAGGCCACAUUUAAAAGAAUGUCUGUUUCCCCUCCCCGGGUCUGCCCUUUGUAAGGCAGGUUCUUUUUUUUUUUUUAACUGGAUGUGAUUGUCAUAGCAGGUCAUGAAUGGUUUGACUUGUCCAGUCCAGGCCACUUAUCAGUUGUUUGUGCUCAAUUUGAGUGUUUAUUUAGAUUAUCAAUCCUUCUGCUUUAAGCACUCCAAAAUGGAAACAAAUUAUUUUCAGGAAAAAAUAAUUUCGAUUUUUUUGUGGAAAAUAAUUUUCUGACCCGGGCCUUAUUUUUGACCCGGGUGGGGGGAGGGGAAACAAACAUAUUUUUAAUUUUGGCCUAAUGUAUGUAUCUGUUUUCAGCAAAGUCAAAGUAUGAAUAAACGAAUGGAGAUAUAUAUGGAGUGGACAUAAUAGAAUAUAAUAUUUUGAUUCAUUUGCUUAAUGCUAUGCUCUAACUGUAAUCUUGUUAUGUCAAUGCGAUGCUUUAUUUGUAGAACUCUAAGCCACGCUUUGUCAUCUUUAUUAUUUAAGCGUGUUUGACUUGGCAAUGUGACAAAAUAAGUGCGUUUCAAUAUUUAACCUUGCCCAAGGGGAUAUCAUGAACGGACGUGUCCACUAUAGAAUAAUUAUAAUACUUCUAAUAUGCAUUUAUCGAAGUUCAAGUCGUAACCUUUUUUCCCUUGCCCAAAAGGAAAUUGAAACCCUGUACGAAAGGGUUCAUUUGAUACCGCUCAGUACCAAAGACGUCCAAGUAAUGAUUUAUUAAUCAAAGUAAACCGAGAUGUGUUUAGAUUUAGCAAUUGCACAGAGCACUACUUUGCGAAUAAGACUGAAAUGCUGACAAUUUACUUUAUACUAAACAUAAAAGUUGAAUGGCUUCAGUCAGCUUUGUAGAGCAAAGGAAAUGCACACGCUAUAGAAUGGAAACCAAAACAAAAUUUUUUCAACUUUCCUUUAAAGAUUUAUUGAAACAAAAACAUGGAAUAUUAUUUCCCUUCUAACAGUAUAAUUCAUUGUUCUUGAUAGGAACAACAUUACAUGGGCUUCACUCUAAGGUAUAACAGUAACACAAUGUGGAACAUCAAAUGAGAUUAACGAGGCGCGUGUCCUUGUUUUAUGCUUACAAUAACAUCCAUUAACACCUCAACUUUGUUCACGCGUCAGACUAUACAAUUAAAUGCGCCAGAAUAUACAAUCAUUGUAAAUAGUGAACACCUGUUGAAAAUCAAGAAUGUCAUUAAUUUCCUUUAACCCUUUACUCCAUGGAUAUUUUUUUUUUAAAUACUUGAUCCGCAUAGGAUUUUUUUCUGUAAAAAAAAUCAACAGGUUUAAAGUGUUAAUGCAUUGUGAAAACUAAUAUUUCAUCAAUGAAAUUCAAGUCAGAUAUUCUCAUGAAUCUCCUUUUCAUAUUGGAUACAAUUUUUUUUAAGUCUGAUGCAGACAUUUUGGAGACAAAGCGUUUCAACUGAGGUUACUACGUCACAUGGAAAAGGGUGCGUCAAAAGGCGUCAUUAUGGAGGAAAGGGUUAAUCUUGAAUCAAUAUGCAUAAACAUGAUAAAUAUCGUUUAAUGAGGCAAUACACAAAUAAAAUGAUGAAAAUAUCAUUUCAAUUUUCUUUUCCUCUUGUUUAUUUCAGUUCUUUGUAUUUCACAAUUUGUGUCUGUAUUUUCAGGACAAUGAUGACUAAUAUAUUAUAUUUUGCGAGCUUAAUAUAUAUUGUAGAAAAAAGUUUUAAAAAACAAAUUAUAAGAUAAAUAAUAUGUUCUAAAACACAAGGAAAAGUAAUCUCAUAAUACAACAGGGUAAACGUAAUACUGGCCGUUAUACAUAAUAAAUGAUAAAAUAUUACGUAAAUGAAUGUUUCAUUUUUUUUCUAUCAAUAUGUUUAACUUUCUUGUCGCUAAAAUUGUUUUCUUUUGCAUAUUCCUUUAUUAUUUAUUGGAAUAAGUAAUUUUUAAUUAAAAAAAAAUAUUUUUAAAUAGUUUCUUGUCGUCUUCUUGUCGCUAAAAUAAUUCUUCUUGUCGCUUCUUGACGCUUCUUGUCGCUAAUUAGUGAGACCGCAUAUUGUAACAUUUUUCUUAACUGUUACCAUGAUUUCUGUUAAACAUCAUGAACAUGAUAAACAUGAUAAAUGAAAAAUACAAAAAAUAAUAGGUGUAAAUUUUACUUGUUUCUGAAAAGUCAGACAUGUCAGAGACAGUGCAUAAGGCCAUUUCAUAUCGAUGUCAUAUAUUUGUUGAAACAUUUAAUAUGCAAAUAGUAAUAUAUAUCGAAAUCAAUGGCACUUUUUUAUUUCCAAAAAUAAAUGUUCUUUUCUUCCAGGAGAUUGUUUUAGGAAUAGCAAAUGUUAGUUUAUAUGACAUUAAUUAAUAAAAUUCUUUUCUUUAAAAUUUCAGACUCAAGUCAGACAGUUUCACAGAGCUUCACCAUUAUGUUCGGGUCAGCUGUUUGUUGUAAGUUGUAAAGCUAGUAAGGCCAAUUAAAAUUAAUUGAUAGAUUCAUCCCCGCCGCCCCUCUGAAAUCUUCCCGCCCCGAUUUUUUAUUUUUGAAAAAAUACGAUUUCCGGAUUUUGCUCAUUUUGUAACGGUAACCGUCGAUAAUUUCGUUUCAUGUAAAACUUCCUGUUUCAAAUUUCGGUUUUCGUAUUUCUUAGCAUAGUCUUACUGAAUGAUUAUGUCGAUAUAUUCUGCUGAUCUAUGAUGACAACAUCAUUUACCAGAAUAGAGAUGAUUACGAGAAGGGGGUGAAAUUUCGGGUUAGAGUAAUAAGCUGUGUGCAAGAACGCAAAUCGCAUACAUGUAUGUCACAAAUGACACAAAUGUUGUGAGUAAACACCUGGAUUUAUUUAUUUAUACAAUGACUUUGUGUCAGAAAUUUGGAUUGAAUAAAACCCAAAAGCGUUAGAAUCGUGGAACACAUUUACUGGAAUAAAGAAAUUAACACAAGCAUGAACUUUUUACAUUGGUGACCGAUAUGAGUAAAAAUCGACAAACAUACGCAUUUUUAAUUUAUUAAUUUAUAGCAAGCUCUUAGAUUUAGAUUUAGCCUUAAUUUCGUUUUUUAAAAUGAGAAAAACAUCCCUGUCCCAAUACCCACGAUAGAGUCAUUUAACAACUUUAUGUUACAUUGUAAUUAUAUUUAAGAUUGCAUAUUAAGGACCAAUCCUAUUAUUUAAACACUGUUUGAGUUUUCAUUUUAUUCUGUACUUAUCAUACUUGUGUUGCAUACCAAUGCAUUUGCUUCAAUUAUUAGAACAACAAAACAUUGUUAGAAAGAAAACACAUUUGAUGUAGGUAGUCCAACUGAAGAGAUUUCUCCACAUUUCUGCUGUUUACUAUAAAUAGAUUUCUAAAGCGGCAAUUACAUGUAGAACAGUGGUUGCUAAUCAGAGAUUAUCUAUUUAUAAAUUUGAAAGAAAAAAAAACCAGCAUAUGGAGUAUAUGCAUGUGUCUCAGUUGGACGUUUACUCUAGAGCAUAGCUUCAAAGUACGUUGAUUUUUGUGAAACAAGGAAUACUGCUUUCUCAAAAGUUGCUAAACAAGGCUAUCAAUCAAUCAAGUAAAGGUCAUCACUCAAGUAAUUUUAUGGUCGCCAUCAUGAGCUGAUUGGCCAUUAUGACAAAAGUGUGUCAGAAAUCAUAUCUCAGUGAUAUUCUUCCUCAUUCAUAAGAACCUUUCAUCAUUACCGAACUGAACAAGGAAAUAACAUGACGGGUGCCGUAUACGGUGCAGGAAAUGCUUACCCUUCCGGAGCACCUGAGUUCACUCAGUGGAGUUUGUGUUGUUUCCUACUUAUUAUUGUAACUGUUGGUGUACAUGUCUAUUGGUUUUAUGAGUCUUGGUUAGUCCUUGGUUUUGAUCGUUAUUGUCUUAUACACAAUACCUUAUGGAUGUAUGAUAUAUUAUUAUUACACUUGCAUAUAUUAAAAACACAUGACAAGAAGGUUUCAUAUGAAAUAAAUUUAAAAAAUAAAAUCCUCCCACCCGCCCCAUUUUUUUCAAAAAUUUGGAUGAAAAUCUACUAAUUAAUUUUAGUUGGCCUAAUCAUUGCCAUGAAUGUUUCUACAUUUGUUGCAACAUGUUACAUUGUGCACAUCCAUGUAGAUUUGAUAAACUCCCAUCAUUACCUUUUGGUAGCAUGCUAUAAUUGCUUACCUUUGAAAGCAAAGGACUCAGGAGGUCAUGUAUUUUAUCUCUUUCUGAAUAAGAUUAAAGACUUUGAAUUUGGUAUUGCUGCUUUACAUGUAUGACAAUUAUGAGCAAAGAUUCAAAUCUGUUGACAUAGAUAUAUUGAAUAAUAAAAUUGAGAAUGGAAAUGGGGAAUGUGUCAAAGAGACAACAACCCGACCAAAUAAAAAACAACAGCAGAAGGUCACCAACAGGUCUUCAAUGUAGCGAAAAUUUCGCACCCGGAGGCGUCCUUCAGCUGGCCCCUAAACCAAAUAUAUACUAGUCAUAAUAAGAACGCCAUACUAAUUUCCAAUUUUACACAAGAAACUAAAAUUUAAAUAAUACAGGACUAAACAAAGGCCAGAGGCCCUACUUGGACAGGCGCAAAAAUGCGGCGGGGUUAAACAUGUUUGUGAGAUCUCAACCCUCCCCCUAUACCUCUAACCAAUGUUAAACUUGUCAGUCCAGUACUAAUGAUGUUGGAUGCUGCAAUUCCCUGGGCGUUGCCUCAUCCCACUAUACACACCUCCUCAUGUCAUUUUUAUGGACCUUGGACAGAUAACUUGGCCAUUAUGAAAAUACUUAUUUAUUAUCACUAAAAUAAAACAUUUCAGUAAUGUCUGUCAGCAUUAUAAAUUUCGCUUGCUUUAUUUGAAAUGCAAGUGAUGAACUCUAAAUACACAAAACAAAAUAUUUAGCACUUUUUUUUAGCUUUUUUAAUCCUCAUUGAUUGAAAACUAAAGACUGAUAGAAUAUAUCUUGACCAAAACAUUG
rnacentral:lncRNA from 1 species